GAUCUAGUCAGCCUCUCCAGGAGGUUGAAGAGUUCAGGGGGAUCUAGUCAGCCUCUCCAGGAGGUUGAAGAGUUCAGGGGGAUCUAGUCAGCCUCUCCAGGAGGUUGAAGAGUUCAGGGGGAUCUAGUCAGCCUCUCCAGGAGGUUGAAGAGUUCAGGGGGAUCUAGUCAGCCUCUCCAGGAGGUUGAAGAGUUCAGGGGGAUCUAGUCAGCCUCUCCAGGAGGUUGAAGAGUUCAGGGGGAUCUAGUCAGCCUCUCCAGGAGGUUGUAGGAUGGAUUCAACAGUUGGACUGUGUGUGUUUGGAUAUUAAGGAAGGAGCCUGGUGUUUCUCUCUCAAUCCCUACUCCUCUCUCUCUAUCUCUCCUCUCUAUCCCUCCUUCUCUCUCUCUCUAUCCCUCCUCUCUCUCUCUCUAACCCUCCUUCUCUCUCUCUCUAUCCCUCUCUCUCUAUCCCUCCUCUCUAUCCCUCCUCUCUCUCUAACCCUCCUUCUCUCUCUC